UCGUAGUCACAGACGUCAUGAACAAGUUCAUCAAAAUCUACAGGUCCUCUUAGGUGAAGGCGUCACAGCAGACGGAAGGCGGAGGCGCUGGGAGUCCCCGACGUUCCGCAGUCAAAAGCGCGGGGACGCGCGCCCUUGACGACCCUUCACGUGCGGCCCUCCGAGCCGUGCUAGGAGUCCUGGGAGCCGUCACCUCCGCAAGGACUACACGCUUGUUAUUUGACCAGAUUCUUGCAAUAUUUCCCUCAAGAUUUCUCAGCUUCUACUGAUGCCCUUACAACAUUUUCUCUCACUGCGAACACAAUGAUCUUUCAAAACUAUACAUCAAUUUGUACUUAAAUAUUUUUCUUGGCUCACAGGAUGACUCAAGUAUCCAGAUUUAAAUGGAUGGAAAGAGAGGAAUAUGGGAAGAAACAAAAAAAGUGGAGGAAGAAGUAACCAGGAUUUGAGGGAGCACUGACAGCUCAAUGUCCAGUGGGCUGGACUUGUGUUCUGAAAAAAGAAAAUUUGCUCCACCCUACUUCGUGAUCUUGUGGAAUAUUUCUAAACAGCCUGACCACCAGCACAUCUGUCCCCUUGCUGGCUUUUAGAUCAGUAGACCAGAAUGUAAUAAAUCCUUCAAGACUAAAGUAUGCUGGGUUAAUCUAUGGCAAUGCAGUGUGUCACCAUAGAAUAUAAGUUUACUAACAUAUUAUAGGCCUCUUCUGAGGUUAAAAAAACCUGGAUUCCUUCAAGUCAUCAUCCAGAGAAAGAUUUAUUCUUGGUACAGUGAAACUUAUGUGACUGCACUUUUCUUAGCUAUAAUUAUGAACAUUCAAGUUUACUUUUAUAAUGUACUUUUAUAUCUCCAAAUUUGAGAAGUUUCACAUAAUGGUGGAUCAGCUAAUUUAAUUUUUUUAUCGUUUAUUACACACGGGGAAAAAACACUCUUCUAAAAUAACUUCUUCAAAAGCAGAGCAUUUUAUUACAGACUAGAAAUAAAUAAUAAAAGUCAGUGACCCUUGCUUCAAAAGUAUGUGGUAAUGAUAAAUUUUGAUAUUGUUAAUGAGCCCCUGUUAAAAUCUAAUCGUUUUAGUCAGAAAUUUAUUUUCCUUCCAGACCUGGAUUUGAUACAGUCUAUAUAUGUUAGACACUUUGAUGAUGUUGGUUAUUAAAAACAUAAAGCUGGUAAAAAACUAUACAGUAAUAAGAAUA